GGCUCAGGAUGAACGCUAGCUACAGGCUUAACACAUGCAAGUCGAGGGGCAGCGGGAUUGAAGCUUGCUUCAAUUGCCGGCGACCGGCGCACGGUGAGUAACGCGUAUCCAACCUUCCGUACACUCAGGGAUAGCCUUUCGAAAGAAAGAUUAAUACCUGAUGGUAUGAUGAGAUUGCAUGAUAGCAUCAUUAAAGAUUUAUCGGUGUACGAUGGGGAUGCGUUCCAUUAGGUAGUAGGCGGGGUAACGGCCCACCUAGCCUACGAUGGAUAGGGGUUCUGAGAGGAAGGCCCCCCACCAUUGGAACUGAGACACGGUCCAAACUCCUACGGGAGGCAGCAGUGAGGAAUAUUGGUCAAUGGACGAGAGUCUGAACCAGCCAAGUAGCGUGAAGGAUGAAGGUCUUACGGAUUGUAAACUUCUUUUAUAAGGGAAUAAACCCUCCCACGUGUGGGAGCUUGUAUGUACCUUAUGAAUAAGCAUCGGCUAACUCCGUG
rnacentral:rRNA from 1 species